CCUACGGGAGGCAGCAGUAGGGAAUCUUCCGCAAUGGACGAAAGUCUGACGGAGCAACGCCGCGUGAGYGAAGAAGGUCUUCGGAUCGUAAAGCUCUGUUGUUAGGGAAGAACAAGUAUCGGAGGAAAUGCCGGUACCUUGACGGUACCUGACGAGAAAGCCACGGCUAACUACGUGCCAGCAGCCGCGGUAAUACGUAGGUGGCAAGCGUUGUCCGGAWUUAUUGGGCGUAAAGCGCGCGCAGGCGGUCCUUUAAGUCUGAUGUGAAAUCUUGCGGCUCAACCGCAAGCGGUCAUUGGAAACUGGGGGACUUGAGUGCAGAAGAGGAAAGCGGAAUUCCACGUGUAGCGGUGAAAUGCGUAGAGAUGUGGAGGAACACCAGUGGCGAAGGCGGCUUUCUGGUCUGUAACUGACGCUGAGGCGCGAAAGCGUGGGGAGCAAACAGGAUUAGAUACCCUGGUAGUCCACGCCGUAAACGAUGAGUGCUAAGUGUUGGAGGGUUUCCGCCCUUCAGUGCUGCAGCUAACGCAUUAAGCACUCCGCCUGGGGAGUACGGUCGCAAGACUGAAACUCAAAGGAAUUGACGG
rnacentral:rRNA from 2 species